AGAGUUUGAUCAUGGCUCAGGAUGAACGCUAGCUACAGGCUUAACACAUGCAAGUCGAGGGGCAGCAUUUUAGUUUGCUUGCAAACUGAAGAUGGCGACCGGCGCACGGGUGAGUAACACGUAUCCAACCUGCCGAUAACUCCGGAAUAGCCUUUCGAAAGAAAGAUUAAUACCGGAUAGUAUACGAAUAUCGCAUGAUAUUUUAUUAAAGAAUUUCGGUUAUCGAUGGGGAUGCGUUCCAUUAGUUGUUGGCGGGGUAACGGCCACCAAGACUACGAUGGAUAGGGGUUCUGAGAGGAAGGUCCCCCGACAUUGGAACUGAGACACGGUCCAAACUCCUACGGAGGCA
rnacentral:rRNA from 1 species